rnacentral:rRNA from 1 species
CGUUAUAGACGAGGAUAAGUCGUAACAUAGUAGAUGUACUGGAAGGUGUAUCUAGAAUUAUAC